ensembl:lncRNA
GGAAGGGUUUCCAAGUAUAUUUGUUUUAAAGUUGAUGUUCACUGCUUUGGAAAAGCCAAAAUAUUAGCAGUUAAAUUUUAUCAAGAAAUGCUUCUGUCUCUCCUCUGAUUUUGUAGACCAUUGUACAUGGAACUUCCAUACUCAACCAUAGGUCAGCUAAAAACAGAAAUUGAAACAUACAGCUGGACAAGAUGACAUAACUGAUUCAAAAACUACAAGAUAUGUAAGAAGUGACUCCUGCAUCAAAUCUAUAACAUCUCUGUGAGCUACAGCUUAUCCCUGAGAAAAACAACCACUAUUGAUUUGAAGAGAUCGGGUAAUUGAAGAGCUAUCAUAUUCCAAGUUUUUCCACUACAUGAAAGACCUGUCUCUACAGAUAUCUUCCUUAGCUGUACGUGAGCAAUGCCUAAGACCAUGGACUGAAACCCCAAACUGUUCCAGCUACUGGAUGGACCAGAGAAAGUGUAUGCAAAAUAAUCGCUUCUUCCCAUAAUGACAUGUAAAGCAGGACCAGUUCUAUCCUCCAGCCUAGAAGCCAUGAAAGGAGGUUGUGAACCUCAGAAAACAAGACCUCCUGGACUGCUUGUGGACUUGUGGCACCCCCUGCCUUGAUAGAGGAUUAUGUCAAGACAUAUGGGUACACACCCUUAAUUCAUGGCUUCCUUGGGGUCUCUACCACUUGUCUGAAGCAUGUUGUAGUCCCUUGACGGUCAUGAAGCACAAGAAUCUGGAGCAAGACACUGUUUGGAAGAACAAUCUGAAAGGUAAUAGCCAUAUUCAGCUCACAGAUGUUUUGCUUCCAUUCAGGAGUACACAGAAACUGUAUAGAAAACUAACUGUCUUUUAAACUCUUCUCCUGGUAAAGCACAGUCCAACGCCAAACCCAGGCAAUCUCUGAGUACUUCGUGUCCUGGGCCUUGGCCUUGGCCAAUGGCCACGCUGGGCAUUUAAUAGUAUGCACAUCCCCACACUAGUGCUCAGGCAUCUACCCUAGCCUUAUAUAAUUUUCUAAUAUAAACUAUAAACUACAGUAGUAUACCUGUAUGGAUACAACCACUGAAAUCAUGCAACUUCUCAAAUGUGAUGGUGGGUGCACAAAUGUUUGUGACAGAAAUUACAGAAAUUACAGGCUACACAAGCAGCUGGAAGAACUCCACAUACUGCUGGAGAGUUGAAUCUAAGCAAUUAAUUAUGUUUCAUUUCUAUGUUUGAUAGUGGUAAGGUCUGUUUCCAGGGAAAAAGAAAGUAUUUUUCUGAAUAUUUAAUGUUUUUAAUGCAUUCUUUCAGUUCUGUAAUUAAUUGUAUGUCCCUGUUUUUACUUAUGUGUAACUAAAAAAAAAUUAAAAAGAUGAAUUUCUGAAUAACCAUGCAGAAGCUGCUGGUUUGCUUUGAAAAAUAAAGGAGACUGAAAUGGCUUGAUUAGAUUUUAAAAAAUAAAUAAAUAAAUUAGCAGUGAAAAAAUCCAAACAGCAAAAAAUGGAGCUUUUCUGGCAACCUGAAUUUGCAAGAAAUUCUGAUUCUAAUGAGACAGAAAAGUUAGGAGAAGAAAGCACACCAAAAGAAAAAAAAAGACAGAGAGAGAGAGAGAGAGAGAGAGAGCCUUAAGAGCAUUCCACUAAGAAAUUUGAUUGUAACACCAGAACUGUCUCCUUCACAGACAAAAAUCUGUCUUCAAAACAUUUGCAGAAGUGUUGCAGAAAUAAAUCAGUUCUCACCGAAACAAGACUUCUGUAGUCAGUACCACAGUACCACCUUGUGGAGAAAUAUAAACAGCCUCGGUAUUGAUUUCUUCCACCAAGCAGUUAGUUUCAGGAAAUAACUAUAAUAUAAG